ACAUGGAACAGUUGUGCACAGCACAUUUGUAUAAAAAUAAAAGCCAUUACAUUUUAGAAACAAAUAAUUGGAUAUUUCUGUUUUGCUACAAAUUUACAAUCUCAGUUAUAAAUCAGUACUAAUCCAGAAUGAGGUAUAUUUCUUGGUAAGAAUAUUACGAAAUGGCACCAUUUUGUUUAUGGAAUUUAAUAUAUAAAUAAUGAGGUAAGCACUGGGAUUCCCACUUUACUGAAAGGCAAUGGACUAGUUGUACAAUACAUGUAAAUGAUUAAAUAAGACACAGAGAUACUGGUGCACUUUUAAGGAGACAGCAAUACUUUAACUAGAGUUCAAUAAUAUAGGAAGGCACAUAGUACACAUGUAAAAAUGACCUAAAAUGUAAAUUUAUUUGUAUUUAUCUUGGAAACAUUACAUUUACAACAGAUGUGUUGCCAUUGUUUUAUUUCAGCCAGUGGUCUUGAUUUGAAAAGUAGCUCUGUUCUUACAGUGUGAAAUCAUCCAUUAUCAAAUCAAAAAAAUGGGUAAUUAACAAACAAAUGCAAUACAAUUUUGCCAUCCUGCAAGACUCCAUAUCACUGGUACCCAAACUAGUACUCGUGAUGCAGCUACAGUCCAUGAUUUGUCACUAUCUCCAUUGGAAACGAAAAGGGAAAUAAAUCAAUACUGGACUGUUGCUGAUCCAUGAGGACUGGCUUGAAAACCACUGCUGUAUAUGAUAAACAAACAAAUUUGUAUUCAAUGAACACUGUUUGUGUUUAUCUGUGUCUGAGGUAUAGAUAGAUGCUGCUUACAUGACAUUAUAGAACACUGUAUACCAUUUUAAAAUGUUUAUUUCAUCCAUUUUUGUGCUGCUACAUGCAAGCACAUAUGGGAACUCCUACGUGAAUUUGGGUGAUUAUGUCACUUGUGGUAUCACCUACUUUUGUGCAAGCGACAUAAUGGUCUACAAAUUUGUACACAUUGCAUGUACAAUGGUGGGUUUAGAUGCCAGCACUCAAAUAGUUACACGUACGAGUUCCCUGGAAAAGACCCACAAGCAGCAAACAUCAGGUUAUUGCUUAGGGGGAAGAUGUCAUGAAGUCUUCUAACAAAAGAUGAAAGGAUCAAGGAUCAAAAGAUGAUUUAAAAAAUCAAGGUAUAAAAUGCAGGCCAAUUGUUACUAACAUGUCGUCAUUUAGUAUGUAAGCACUAUCCAUAAAUAAAACAUUUUACCUCAGUUAACAUUAAAGUAUUGCUGAUCCCUUACACUUCAGUGUCACAUGUUCAAUAUCGUUGAUACCAUGUUCCAAUUAAUGGUUUAUACAACUUACAUUUAGAAACACUCUGCAGUAAGAGGCAUGUCAAUGGCCUUUAAGACAACAUCAUUAAGGGAGAGCUAGGAGAGAUCUCCACGUCCCUGUCACAUAAAUGUUCCCAGACCUGUCUAUUAGAACAUGCAGCCUCUUUGUCAAGUUUACUAGAAACUGAAACCAGCUUCUAUUACACUUCUGGAAGGCUGAAUUUAGAUCUCCUACUUUUCUAACACGUAUCUACCAGACAGCGACCCUUCUUUUUAAAAAUAUGAAUUCACUAUGCACCCACUUUUCUUUCAUAUGUAUUUAGCAUCCAUAUUUAUUCUAUUCUUCUUGUGAAAAGGUAUAACACAUUUCUAGACAAUAUUAUUUGCAAAUAAUAUUAUCGAUGAAGGCUCUUCCAUAGAGGCAUACCUGUUUUAAUGUGGGGGAAAACAUUUAUUUGCAGUAGUUUAGAAACACUCGCAUUCGUUUUUUUGGGAUGGGAGGGAGAUGAGCCAAAAAAAUAUGGGAAACCAUUAAUGUCUCCUUAAUUUUGUAAUAGGUUUCAGUUUUACAGGGCCCCUCCCUCCUCAUUUGUAGCUGUUUGGAAAAGCUUACUUCAGAGCAUCUAGGCAUGUUUUAAAAAUGGGUCUAGUUUUAUAUCUGUCCCUUUUUGGCAUAUUUGGCACAUGGCUAGUCUCAUUUAAGAAGUAAUUUCAGGAAUUCCUAUUGAGUUGCCAUUCAGGUAACAGAGCAGCUGCCCAUGAGUGGAGGCAUUUCUCUCCAGGGACCAUUAUUGGCUGAUAUUGCCAGUGGGUGGGGUUACAGUGCCCACAGAAGAGAGAAUCAAGACGCCAUAUUGAAAGAAGCAUGAAGAGAGCACAACAACAGCAGCAGCAGCUCCUGUUCCCUGCCAAAUGUAAUAUAAUGUAUAAUAUCUUUUUCUCCCCCCCAUUAGCCCUAAUGACUACAUCAAGGAAAGGAAUUUACUCCAAUAUAUAAUUAUUAUAUAUAUACAUGUACAGCCAGAGAAGCACAGAUGUGGCAAGGGGAGGGGAACAUUACUGACACAGAGUACAGUGCUGCCUGUCACUAAUAUUUUUAAUAACUCCUACUGCACAGUUACUCUACAUCUGAGACCUGAGACAUUCAUGCUGUGAUUCGUUGAAAAGUUGUGAAGCUUCAAAUUGUAGGACUGGGGCUGUGACUCUGAGGACUGGUCUGAUUCCGAUUUCAAUAUGUUUUAACCUGUAAUGAUUGUUGAUUCUGUUAACCAUGUCAGCUACUUCUUGACUCCAUUUUACCACUGUAGAUUAAUUAUAUUACCACUGCAGGUAAUAUGAAGUCGAUCAGUGCCCUGCUGCUUUAACCAUGUGCACACUGUGUGCUAAGAGCUAAUGGAGUAGGUGACAUGUUUCAUAACAGCAACAAUAUUUAAUAGAAAGCUAAAUUUAUCAUAGCAGGAGCACUUCUGAAGAUGAGAUCAUGUAAGAGAGAGCUAAGAUGGGGCUAGCAAAAUAAAUAGAGAGAAGAGAGAUAGCUAAAGCAUUUUACAGACACAUGUACUGUGUGGGGACCUCUGUAUUGCAGCUCUGUGUAACCCAUCAUAGUGCCCCAGGCUGUGUGGGAUAGUUAUGGCAUCUCAUUAUUGUGCCCAGCUUUCUGUGGAGGAUUAGGGGUAAAAUGGGAAAUUAAUUAUGAAAUCUCGCUUUCUGAGUGGAAUAUUUAUUGUUUUACAAUGUGUUCUCUUCUUUUUUUUUUUUUAAAAAUCCCCUUAACCUCUGGAAUUAACUAGGGUGUAUGUUUACAUGUAAUUGCCAGGGGAUUGACGAAUCCCUAACCCGAGCAUUUAAAAUAAACCAUAUAAAAAAAAAUAGCAAGUAGGCAACUAUAAAGCCACUAACUAUGUUAAGUUAACCCCUGAACUUCCAUACAUCAGGGAAAUGCAUUUGAGAAAGUCUAAGGGUCCCCACAUAAUUUAAAUAAAUCCAUCCACCACAGGUAACGAUGGGGUGAGGAGUGGGUAAGCAAGCAUAUUGAUUAAGUUUGAUUUAACUCUUACCACAUUGCGUAUCGGAGGAAGUUAUAGGUAAUGAGACUGUGACAGCACUCUCUUUAUUAUUAUAUAACUUUUGCCAUCUGUAACAACCUGCUUGGGUUCAAUGGAGGGUAACACUCCAUUGAAUGAUAUGAAAUAUAUUACAUUUAUUCAAGCUGAAAAAAAAAUAACCAAACUUUUUAUAGACAGAUUUGUUGUGACAGACUAUAUUAAAUUACCUAUUUUUUACAUCAUGCCUGCUUGUUAGCAUGUUAUAUGUUUCACUAUUGUUUUACAUGUUCAGUACAGUGUCUUUAAAAUUUGUCAAAAUAUUAUAUUUUGCUAUAAUAUAUACUGUGAUUGUAGUAUUAACAAAACAUUAAAUGUGAUUACUAUUAUUUACAUUUUUUUAUUCCAUAGGCUUCUUACUGAAAAUUUACUUAUUUUGUGCAACUCUUAAAGAAGUAUUGUUGGUCUCUGAGAAGCAUGUGACUGCAGUAAGGUCAGGCAAAAAUACCAGAAGAAGUAGCUCUCCAGAAAUGUCUUCAGUAGCGUUACAUACAUACAUGACAUGGGAUGACACUGGAAUUAACUAAUUAUGGCCUUUGAUUCCUGGGAGUCAACUUGUUAAUGCAAACCUGACCUUUAGUGUGUGCUGUAUAUUUUUAGGUAGUCUAAAUAAGUUUGGAAUAGGAGAGAGGCAAACACAUAACUACGCAGCCAGGCGUGCCCUUUAAAUCGGGUCUGAAACCACUUUUAGACAUCUUGUGCUCUCAGGGAGUCUGUUCAGUAAUCUGGAAGAUGAUCAUUCUUCAUUUAAAAGGAAAGGGGGUUCAUAGAAAUGUUUUAUUUUGUUCUAUUUCACAUGCAAUUCUGCUGUUGUAUCUUUAAUAUGACACUAUAGUCACCAGAACAACUACAGCUUAAUGUAGUUCUGUUAUCUCUAGCCUGUCCCUGCAGGCUUUUUAAUGUAAACAUUGCCUUUUCAGAGAACAUUGCUGCAUAGUAACACUUCUAAUCACAGUCACUCAGACAGCCACUAGAGGUGCUUACUGGGUCAGUGAUGCACAGUGGAAGAAUGCUGAAUGCUCCCCAUAGAGAUGCAUUCACUCAAUAGGAUACAUUGACUGGUGCAGUGCAGCGUUUUGCAGUGCACAGACCAGUGGUUCCCAAACUUUUUAGGUUCAAAGCGCCCUUAAUAUUUCAAUAUUUUUCAAAGGCACCCCAAGUCAAAAUUUUUAGGUUGUAUAUCUAUACUAUACUGGCGCUAUAGAGUAAUGUACAGUGUUGGUGUUUGAAGGAGUGCUUGUAUAUUGUUUUAGUGUUUUAAUACAUGGGUGUGUUUGUAUGUUUGACUGCAGGGGUGUGUCUGAAUGUAUUGUUCAUUUUUACAUGUGGAUGUACAUUUGUGUGAAGUAUUUGUGUUUGAGUGAAGGGGUGUGUUUGUAUAUUAUUUUGGAGUUUGAAUGCCCAGGUAGCUUUGUAUGUAAUAUUUGUGUUAGAUUGCAGGAGUGUGCAUAUAUGUUGUGCUGGUGUUUGCUUGGAUGUAUGCACAUACACUACCACAUACAUAUAUACUUACACAGAUAUUUAUGCAGAGAUAUAUACACACACACACACACACAAAUACACACACACAUGAUACUAUUUUAUAUAUCCAGCAACCCUCCUGUUAUCUUACCUUAUGUGUCCAGGAGGGUGGCUUCGAGUCCUGCUGGCUGGUUUGAGUGAGGGGUCUAGAGCAGCUCCUGGAGUGCACCUUUCCCCUCAUGCUGCGGCUACCUUUUCUCCCUCUAGUGAUGUCUCCAUGCAUGAUGCUGGGAGGAAGUGACAGGUUGUCACUUCCUCCCAGUCGGCAGACAAUACAGGGACCCAGUCGCGGUCUUAAAGGACUGUUCAGCAGUUAUGUUUCCUGGUGCUCUAAUCAUAGCACAGGGGAAACAUUCUGCGGCGCCCCUGUGUGCCCCAGGGCACUGCGGCUCACAGUUUUGAAACCGCUGGCAUAGACAAUAGCCUCCUGAUGCUUUCCUAUGGGAUUCAAAUUUGAUGAUCUCAUCCAAGGAGGUUUGCAUUCCUGACACUAUAGUGUUCCUUUAAUGUUGCAAGAUGCGUUUCAAUUCAACAUAAUACACUGUUAAGUAAAUAUACCCAGUAACAUUUAAUUAGUAAACAUUAUUGGGUCUAAUUUAAUUGCAUUGGAUCAAAACACAGAUUAAUCAUUCUUUAAGAAAUGCAUACUUGCCAAAGUUCAGAUUACGUGGAAAGUCCUGAAUGUAAGAUACACCCAUCCUGGGUGUUUCUUCUGGGGUCUCCAGAAGUAGCACUUACACUACACAGUGCUGUUUUACUGGGAAUUUCAGCCUGUACAUGCCACUUGUAAGUAGCGCUAUGUGUAUGAGCUGCCUUGUCACCAUGCAGGUCUGCCUGUCAUCCAAUCCACCUUUAUGGAUAGGCACAUUACCAGUGACACAAAUUGCAUCAGUGGCAUGCCUCAGCAUCUUCUGCUGUCACCUCUAAAACCCGCAACAUACGUCACAAAGUUGAUAUACUCCAUCAACUGAGUUUACCUGAACAUAACAUCUCUGUCCUCCUGAGCCAGACAAUGCAAUCUACUACGCAUGACCAUCUUAACACUGAUUUAACACCAAUAUUUUUUAGAUAUUUUUGCAUUCAUUUAAACUCAGAUCAGAGAGCGCAUUAUAAAGAUGGCCUCACAUAAUUAUCUUUUUUUUAAAGUAUAUUCAUUCAAAAACCAACUCUAAUACCUCACUGAAGAAAUUAUAAUGAUAUCAUCCUGUCCACAUGCCUGUCAAAUUAGUGAAUUUGUGUUCUACCACAACAGUUAUUAAAUCUAAGUUAAUCCUCAAAAUAAUAUCCAUUGCACAACAUACAUAAAUGAAAGAUAUAGCCAGACAUCCCAAUUCAACUGGACGUUCCGGGAGUUCCGGCUACCUGACACCCGAAAAUCAUAUACAACAUCCUGGAAAUCACACACACAAUGUAAAUACAAUGUAUGUCAGAUUGUGUGUGUGUGAUAUCCAGGAUAUUGUAUAAUUUUCAGCCCCCGAUAAUACUCGCUUUAAGAGCACAACCAGGCCCCUGUAGUAUCAUCUGGAAGGGAGGAAGUGACAGCCUGUCACUUCCUCCCAGCUUCACAGAGCACCGCAAAGGAGGGAGAAAGGGAGGAGGAGGCUAAAGGCAGCGGCGGCAUCACAGGCAGAGGCAGAGGAGAGGCUACAGUGAGCUGCUGCAUGCUUACUGUCUUCAGCAUCAGCCAGCACCAGGACCCCAAACAAGCCACCCUCCUAGCUGCAAAUAUAUGAAGUAUGAAAUGUAUGUGUUUAUGUCUGUAUGUAUCCAUUUGUAUCAGUGUGUAUGCCAGUGUGUGUAUCUGUGUGUAUCUAUGUGUAUGUUAGUGUGUGUAUGUCAGUAUGUGUGUAUGUGCCAGUGUGUGUGUCAGUGUUGUGUGUAUCCAUUUGUUAUGUGUGUAUCCAUUUUAAUCAUUGUGUAUGUCAGUGUAUGUAUCUCUUUGUCAGUGUGUAUCUGAGUGUGUAUCUGUAUGAGCCAUUGUGUAUCUGUAUGUCAGUGUGUGUAUCUGAGUGUAUGUGCCAGUGUGUGUAUCUUAAUGUGUGUGUCAGUGUGUGUAACUGUAAGUCAGCAUUUAUCUAAGUGAGUAUCGGUGUGUAUGUGCCAGUGUGUGUAUCUAAAAAGUGUGUGUGUCAGUGUGUGUAUCUGUGUGUCAGUGUGUAUCUGAGUGUGUGUGUGCCAGUGUGUAUCUGUAUAUCAGUGUGUGUAUCUGAGUGUGUGUCAGUGUGUACCUUAGUGUUUAUGUGUUAGUGUGUCUAUCUGUGUGUUGAGGUGUUCAUACAUGAUUGAUCAUACAUGUUUGGUGGCUGUGUGUGUGUGUGUGGGGGCGGGGCAGGGUAGCUGGUGAAGCCACCUCCCUAAAAUGAGUUUUGCAUGUUGGGAUGUCUGAGCAGCUCUAUAUUUUAUAUAUGAUUGGUCAUAUGAAAAUGUUACCAGAAAAGCUAAAUAUAUUUAAAAUGUUUAUAUAAUUAACUUUAUUUAAAUAUCAAUAUAUAUUCUAUUUGCAUUUUUCUGCAUAUUUCCUGUCCUGCACCCUCCCCCACAUUAUAUCACAGGACUUCAUUGUGUUUCUGCAGGCUUGAUAGCAACAAAAAUGUAGCUACGUGAGACAGUGAGUCAACUAGAAAAGAUGUAAAAACAGCUGGGUGGCAAAGCCAAGCCUAUCAACAAAGGGUAGGCAACAGCCAACUAGCACAAGGGUUAUGGCCAGUUUGUAGUUAGUCUCAACCCUCUCCCAAGGUUUACUUUGAGGAAUGUACCUUUUAUUAGAGGUGAGUUGGUUUGGCUCCGGUGAGGGUGGCGUUUGAUAAUGUCACAAGGUGACUUCACUUGUUUGGAUUACAGUUGUUACUUAAAGGGACACUGAAGGCACUGUAACUGCUACAUCUCAACAAGUGGUUGUAGUGUUUGUAGUCCACAUGUGUUGUCCUUCCAUUCAGUUUUAACUGCUUGUAAUAGUUUAAUUCUAAAUGAGAGUCCCCAGCAGCCUCUCCCUUCUCUGAUGUUCAAAUUUAUAAGGAAAAAUUUGCAUGUGCAACAAUGGGAGGCGGUGAUUAGCUGAGAGUGUCAGCUGACUGCAUAAAGCCUAACACAGCCACACAUUGCUGGUAUGAAUUGGUAUGACUAAGGAAGUGUAGGUCAGUAGAUUUAAAACAUUUUUUAAAUGAAAAGUAAAAUAAAACUGACCAAUGAAAUAAUUAAAUGUUGUUGUCCAAUUGCUAACUAGUAAAUUGUUGUGAGUUGAGUGACAUUUAGGCCAAAAAUGCUGUUGUUUUUUAAAAUAUUAUUUUGGGUAACAUAUCAUAAUUUGUUAUUAAUUAACCAAUAUUCAAUGUAGUGAUUAUAUGCCGUUUGUCCAAACGCCUCUAUACUCCCUUCCACCUACUUCUAGAUAACAUCUACAUUAUUAUUAUUAUGAUAUUUAUAUAGCGCCAUCAAAUUCCGCAGCGCUUUACAAUGGGUGGACGAACAGACGUAGUUGUAACCAGAUAAGUUGGACACACAGGAACAGAGGGGUUGAGGGCCCUGCUCAAUGAGCUUACAUGCUAGAGGGAGUGGGGUAAAAUGACACAAAAAGGUAAGGAUAGUAUUAGACUAGUGACAGUUGCAGAAGAGGAAUCAGUCAGAAGCUAUUAACAGUUUAAUUGAUACGCUUUUAUGAAGAAGUGGGUUUUUAACGAUUUUUUGAAGGAGUGGAGACUGGGUGAGCAUCUAACGGAGGAGGGAAGCAAGUUCCACAGGAACGGUGCAGCCCUCGAGAAAUCUUGAAGGCGAGCAUCAGAGGUGGGAGUACGGACAGAAGAUAGACGUAAGUCUUCAGCAGAUCGUAAGGGCCUAGACGGGACAUACUUGUGUAUAAGGGAGGAUAGAUAGGUGGGAGCAGCAUUAUGUAGAGAUUUGAAAGCAAGAACCAGAAUUUUAAAUUGAGCUCUAUAUGUUAUAGGAAGCCAAUUCAUUAUGGACUGUAACAGCGCAAGUUGGGAGCACGUAAGACCACUGAGAAGCGGAUUACAGUAGUCAAGGCGAGAAAGGAUAGUGGAAUGGACCAACACCAUAGUCGCAUCUGGCGUUAAUUAGGGGCAGAUGCGCGCAAUGUUUUUGAGAUGGAAAUGACAGGAUUUGGCGAUAGAUUGAACAUGAGGCUUGAAGGAGAGGUCGGAGUCAAAGAGAACACCUAGGCAGCGAGCCUGCAUUGUGGAGCUGAUAGUAGCACCGUUGACUUGGAGGGAGACAGACACAGGAGUAACAACACUCGAGGGAGGAAAGACCAGAAUUUCAGUUUUGGUCAAGUUUAGUUUAAGGAAGUGGGCAGCCAUCCAGUUAGAAAUAGCAUAGAGGCAGUCAGAGACACUAGUCAAGAGGGACGGGGAGAGAUCAGGAGAGGACAGGUAGAUUUGCGUGUCAUCUGCAUAGAAAUGAUAUUGGAAGCCAAAAGAGCUAAUGAGUUUACCAAGGGAGGCAGUAUAGAUGGAGAACAGUAGGGGACCAAGGACUGAACCUUGGGGGACACCAACAGAGAGGAGUUGGGGAGAAGAAGCAGAGCCAGAGAAAGAAACACUGAAAGAGCGCUGGGAGAGAGCAAUAUCUUGUAGGCCGAUAUUGCGAAGGAUGAGAAGAAGCUGUUGAUGAUCAACAGUGUCAAAAGCUUGUGAUAAAGUGAAGGCAGAGAGGCCUUUAACAUUUAACCCCAGGGGAAGUACGUGUUGUAUGUGUGGUGUGCAACAUAAAGCUACGUUUAGUUAUGGGCCCCUGGGGUGGAGCAUUUGGAGAGCAGGGUGGGCCAAUGCUCCACUGCUCAGUUUAUACACAACUGGGAGAAAUAAGGUCCAGGACAGAGUUUUUUGGAACUGUCUCCAACCCACUGCUCAGCUGCAGAUAAUCAGCUGUAGCAGUGGGAAUAUACCCCUCCCUGCUAGACAGAAUUACUGAACAUUUGUCCAGAUUGCUGGCUUCCUCCCUGGAAGCAGGUAGGAGAGAGGCUGUUCUCUCCAAUGAGAGAGUCAAGGAGACUGGGCACUGGGAGCGCAGAAGGAAGCAGUCAAGGCUGGCUUGGAGUACUGGGAGUGCAGAAAGGAAAGCAGUUAAGGCUGGCUUGGAGCACUGGGAGUGCAGAAAGGAAAGCAGUUAAGGCUGGCUUGGAGCAGUGGGAGUGUAGAAAGGAAAGCAACAGGCUGACUAAGCACUGGAGUGCAGAGAGCUGACAAAGACACUAGGUUGGUGAAACCAAUAUUGUUUUGUUCUAGUUUAACCCCUGAGAGAUAGGGAACCUGAUGUUAGUAAGUGCUCAGACGAGCUAGGUUUUUGUUUAUAGGGAUUUGUGUUAUAUUUAUGUUUUCAUUUGCUGCUGUCUCCUGUGUUGACUUACAAAUAAAGUGCCUGGAUUAUAUGAAAAUAAAAGGAUUGUGCCUGUUGUUUACCCUAGAGGACCGUGCUAUCUGCAAACAAGGAUCACAAUAUGGUGGAGAAUGUGGGCACAGUGGGUGUGCCAGUCAUCCGGUAGUCUGCUUAUAGAGGACUCUUACUUUUGCAGACAUGUUAAGCAAAUAAGUAGCACUGUACCUUUAAGACGGUUACCUGAUUGGUGCUAUAAUGGAGGACCUGCUGAAGGCUCUGGUACUGGCAACUGCUGUACAACAAGACACCAACCAUUUCCUGGCUGCACAGGUUAAGAGCCUGAUGGAAACUCAGCAAGAGCAUAGAGCUGCCCUUACUGAGGUUUUGCAGAUUGCCCCCUGCAGGGGGCAUGGGGACAAGGGACCCCGUAACCAAGCUGCUGACAUCCUGCAUAAGAUGACAGAGGCAGUAGAAGAAGUCUUUAGCAAGCUGAAAAGCAUGGAGUCAGCAAAGCGUGAUGUUGAGAAACACGCAGAAGAGAUAGAACAGGAAUUAGAAGGCAAGAAGGAAAUAAUUGAGCCUGAAAGUAGUGAUAAGGUGGAAGAGGGUGAAAAGCCAGCUGGAUCCUCCAGGGACCAAAUAGCAAAAGAAGAAAAGAUAGUAAUGAGACCAGCAAAACUAAAGGAAAAAGCGGAAUUGUCAAGAGGCAGUGAUGGUGACACUGAUGACAUGCGCCAAAGUAAAGCUAGUGAAUACAGCCAGGGAAAGAAACAUGAAGCAGAAGCCACUGAUGUUCACCCAAGUGAACAAGUCAAAGGCAUAAAAAGCAGACUGACUUGGGGAGUCAGAGAAGACAACAGCAAAGGAGCUGAGCUUAAUAGAGAGAAGCAAAGCACCCCAGCUGAGUAUAGCAAUGCGGUGCACUGUUUAGUAGCAGAGGCUACCCAAGAAUGUCAACCAGCUGUUGAACAGUUUGGCAGAGAAAAACAAGGCAGAGAAGUAGCGGCAAAAUGAAGUCAAAAUAAGAAAGGCAAAGUAGCCGCUUCUGAUCUAAGCCAAGAGAGAGCGAGAGUUACAGAACCAAGCUGUGGUGAUAAGAUGGGCACGUCCGCACCUAAGCCUGACCAAGGCGAAAGUGACAAAGUAGGUGACAUUGGCGUAACAGAAAUAAAUAUUUCAGAGACAUCUGGUAUUGCUACAAAGACUUUGAAGGAUUGUCCGGGAGCUGUAGAACUGGAUCUGCUGGCAAAGACUACAUCUACAAUGCCUGGGCGCAGGUACUACCUGGAACAGCUGCCAGAUUCUGGGAACACAGUAAUGGAAUUAAAGGCAGGACUCGGACUGCCUGACCGGCUGUUUGAUGCCGGGGCUGUCAUGACCCAGCGAGAGGCCAUGACUGCGUCUCUGGACACCCCCGAGGGAGCAGAGAGACCGCCAGACAGCCCAGAGGUAAGCAUUGCUGACAUUGAGAGAUGGCCACUCAAGGCCGAGCAAGCAGAGGAUACCCCUGGGAAGGAAACCAGGCAAAGGAAAGAUGAGCUAAGCCGGGAGUCUGGGCCUCCGGCAGAAGAACAGCGCUCCAUACCAGGCCAGGCCGAGCAUGAUGGGAUGGAGCUGGGAUCAAAGGCUGAAUUCAUGCAGGAGGAGGUUGCUCUAGACAGCCUCCCUGGCAAACCCCCUGAGUAUAUAGAGAUAGGGAACCUGAUGUUAGUAAGUGCUCAGACGAGCUAGGUUUUUGUUUAUAGGGAUUUGUGUUAUAUUUAUGUUUUCAUUUGUUGCUGUCUCCUGUAUGGACUUACAAAUAAAAUGCCUGGAUUAUAUGAAAAUAAAAGGAUUGUGCCUGUUGUUUACCCUAGAGGACCGUGCUAUCUGCAAACAAGGAUCACAAGCCGCAGACAGGUCAAGGAGAAUUAGGACAGAGUAGUGACCACGAGAUUUUGAAACGAGUAGAUCAUUGGAUACUUUGGACAGUGCCGUUUCCACAGAGUGCUUUGGGCGGAAACCAGACUGAAGCGGGUCUAGCAGAGAGUUGGACUCGAGGAAGUCUGUCAAUCUCGCAUACACAAUUCUUUCAAGGAUCUUGGGUGCAGUAGCAGUAGCGAGAUAGGACGAUAGUUGGAUGGAGAGUUAGGGUCAAGAUUUGGCUUCUUUAGAAUUGGGGUUACAGUUGCAUGUUUGAAGGGCGAUGGAAAUAUAUCAGAGGAGAGAGAGAGAUUGAGAAUUUUAGUGAGAGGUGGAGAAAGAGAAGAAGACAGAGUACGAAUGAGAUGCGAGGGACUUGGAUCUAGGGAGCAGGUGGUGGGGCGGGAGGAAUGGAGCAGAGCAGAAACCUCAUCCAAUGUAGCGGGUGCGAAUUAACAUAGAACAGCAGAGGGAGUGAAGUUAGGGGAAGUAUUGUAAGGGGAAGAAGAAAGAUGAGAGAUCUCUUCUCUGAUUGUAGAGAUCUUGUCAGUGAAGUGAGUUGCAAAGUCUGAGGCGGUCAAUUAAGUAGGUGGAGGAGGAACAGCAGGGCGAAGAAGAGAGUUAAAUGUGUGAAAUAGUCGUUUGGGUUCGCAGGAGAGUGUGGUUAUGAGGGUAUUGAAGUAAUUAACUGUUGCAGAGGAAAGACUGUAUGAGCUGAGCAUAAAUUUAUAGUGGAGAAAGUCAGAUGCACAGUGAGACAAUCUCCAACAGCGUUCAGUAGUUCUAGAGCAUUUUUGGAGAUAUCGAGUGAGCUUGGUGCGCCAGGGUUGUUGUUGGGGGCGCCUGCGGUGUUUAAAUGUACAAGGUGCCAUGAUGUCUAGUUGAGAGAAGAGGGUGGAAUUGGAGGUUGCAGAACUAGGACAGGUGAGGUUUGAGAUAAGUAAAAGGAGAGUUUGGAGAUUAGUGGAGAAAUGCUCUAGGUCAAGACAUUGGAGGUUUCUGUGAGAGUGAUGCUCAGAUGGUGGUGUCAAUUAGGUCUUAGGUAUGCCAAUGUCAAAAGUCAGUAGAUGGUGGUCAGAUAGAGGAAAAGGAAUAUUGGAGAGAUUAGAGGCAGUACAGAGGUUGGUGAAGGCAAGAUCAAGAGUGUUUCCCGCUGUAUGGGUUGCUAAAUCCACAUAACUCCAGUUUAAAAGUGUUUGGCUAUGUAUUAGAUAGGGCAUCCUAAAAUAGUAUAGAUUUAUAGAUAGUGACUAACAUUAAGCCCGUGGUGUAAAAUGAUCAGACUGGCUUGGCAGAAAUGACUAUUCUAAACAUAGGUGACAAUUAUUGGCUGAAAAUUGUAUCCUAGUCUGUAAUACCCCCACUACACUAAUACAUUAAUAAAAUAACCUUUGUAAUUUUGACUAAAAAGCACUGGCUCUUCUAUACCUACUAAACAUUUCAUAAUUUUAUUCCUAAUGCUUUCCACUGAAAAGAUACUCACUUUUAUUAACUGUAUUAUUAUGUGAACAUCAGCUUUUUUGAAUCGCAAACCCAUGACAAUAGCCUUGUAUAGAAUGAUUCCACAACCAAGUACUAUAAGUAGUUAAAGGUGCAGGUAAGCUAAAAUUGUAUCCCGAGUGGAAAAGAUAGUGUCACCAUUGAGAGAUAAACUAACUAAAAGCAUUUCAUUUGGAUUUGCAUCAGAUACAAACCAAAUCUGAAUUUGUAAUGUCAAUGUUUUGUUGUGUAUAAAACACGAUGCAGGUGGAAACAGGGCAUUAGUGGAAUUAAAUGCCGGGCAAGAAUAUACAAAUAGCUUUCUGAGAGGAAGCUAGCAAUGCAUAUUAUCAGAUUAUGACACCUAUUACUGUUGAGAUGCUGUAAGCCACUUUUGGUAAAUCCCCAGCAUGACAAUUUUAAGAUAUUUGAAGGGUUAUUUCAAGUAUCAUUCCCACUACAGCCCGCUGUACUGGUUACGAUUCCAGGAAUACCAUGGGCUGACUGUUCUCUGCCAAUGACUGCCAUUCUGUGACAAGAAAGUGACGCUAUGAUGAAUUCCACCUUCAAACAAGUUAAUUUCUGUACGUGUAGCGUUUUAAGUGAAAUGUUACACAUACAGGCUCUAAGCACCAUGACCACUUCAAAUCACUGAAGUGUUCAUAUACACAGAAUUGCUGAACAUUUGUCCAGAAUGCAGGGCUGCUUCAAAUUUAAAUCCAUUAAUGGUACGGUUUAUUACACACCUGACAAUCUGAAAACUCUAAUUCUCCACCUUUAUGUUAUCAGACAAGGUCAUUUAAAACAAUGGCUCCACAUACCAUCUAAAACUGUUCAAUUAAACUCACAUCCUUUGCCUUCCUAUUUCAUUCUUCACCAAGCUUCUUCUGAUCAUAACCUUAACAUGCCUUCAAAACAAACACUGACAUCCAUCAUAGUUAAUGCCUACUAUCUAGCAUUAUUGUUAUCUGAACUGAGGUUCUUUUGCUAGUGAGAGAUAUAUGAUCUGUUCCAGGCUUUUGGCCAUUAUCCAAUCCCCAGUUCUCCUUACAGCCAUAUGAAGAAGAUACUGAAGCUACAAAUACUGUUGUUUAGCAUAUCUUCAUGGCCACAAUGGUUGGAAUUUUUGCUACGCACUGUAGUAACCUACCCUUUCUCUUACAUUUUUAUACACAAUUUUCCCAUUUGUCCUUUGUCUCUUAUCACAAAGCAUUUUCAGGGUAAUGUCUUUUGCCUAUAAACUAAACUAAAAAUAGCUAUUGAGUUUCCACUCAUAAAAAGUUGAAUAAUUAGUUGUUUCACGUUUCAGACUACUCAACUUCAACAUCGUGAAGUAAAAUAUUUAAUAUGGAUUCCAGUUGGCCAAACUGGAAAAGCCUUAAGGAACACUUUAAUGUUAGGCUGUUCCCCAGGCUCCUUAGCUCCACAGCUCUCCCCUUCCCCCCAGUCAAUCUCUGUGAAACUCCAGGAAACUGCCAUUAGUAGACUUAGUACUGCAAUGUAAUGUAAUUGCAGUUAUCUAAAACGUCAAUGUUUUACAUUGCAGAACUGAGUAGCACAGGGACACUACACUCAGACCACUUCAAUGAGAUAAAGUGGUCUGGGUGCCUAUAGUGUCCCUUUAAGAAGCACCAAGUCCUCCAUCUUAAUAGGGCUGUGAGUUACCCCAAAUAGCUACAUACAGUGCCCUCCAC
rnacentral:lncRNA from 1 species